AGCAGCCGCGGUAAUUCCAGCUCCAAUAGCGUAUAUUAAAGUUGUUGCAGUUAAAAAGCUCGUAGUUGAAUUUCGGGAUCAUCAGGUUGGUCUGCCUCUGGUAUGUACUGAUUUCGAUGGUCCCUCCUUCUUGAAGAGCCGUAAUGCCAUUAAUUUGGUGUUGCGGGGAAUCAGGACUGUUACUUUAGAAAAAAUUAGAGUGUUUAAAGCAGGCAAUCGCUUGAAUACAUUAGCAUGGAAUAAUGAAAUAGGACGUUCGAUCCUAUUUUGUUGGUUUCUAGGAUUGACGUAAUGAUUAAUAGGGAUAGUUGGGGGCAUUAGCAUUCAAUUGUCAGAGGUGAAAUUCUUGGAUUUAUUGAAGACUAACUACUGCGAAAGCAUUUGCCAAGGAUGUUUUCAUUAAUCAAGAACGAAAGUUAGGGGAUCGAAGACGAUCAGAUACCGUCGUAGUCUUAACCAUAAACUAUGCCGACUAGGGAUCGGAUGAUGUUAAUUUUUAAUGA
rnacentral:rRNA from 1 species